rnacentral:rRNA from 1 species
GAAAUUCGCCUUCAUGAAGCCGGAAUUGCUAGUAAUGGCAGGUCAGCAUACUGCCGUGAAUACGUUCCCGGGCCUUGUACACACCGCCCGUCACACCAUGAGAGUUGGGAAUACCCGAAGCCUGUGAGCUAACUUUUAGAGGCAGCAGUCGAAGGUAGAAUCAAUGAUUGGGGUGAAGUCGUAACAAGGUAUC